UGUGCGCUUAGUCGGCGUUCGAAAUGGCUGCCGGUUAGCUGUGGAGAGACAAUCAGGGCUAGGGGCCUCAACCCGCCAAAUCAAACCCUGCACACAAACAUCGAAAAUGAGGGGGCACUGUUUUAUUCACAAACUUUACUGACUCAUAAUUACACACAAGGGAAAACAUCAACACAGAGAUCUUGGUGGAAGGAUCUCACGCUAGCCCACCCAACCAUGGUCCAAAAAGUCCGGCACAUUAGAUUAUGUUGGACCCCGUACACCACACCUACGAAAUCACACACUUACCACAUUACUCCGCCCCCCCGAAUUUAUAAAUUUACCAACACAUAACUUUUUCUACUAUAAACUAAGACAUAUCAAAAUUUAUUAAGAUUUUUAUGGGUUUGAAAAUUAAAGAUUUUAAAUUUAAUAUUCCUUUUUUUUUUUUUAUUUAACUUUCACUUACAAUAACUAAAUACACAACACAAAAAAAAUAAAGAACAAUACUGGUUAAUUAGAAACUUUUCGGCUCACUCAUUAUAAGGCGAGACAAAAACGAUAACCUUUAUCCCUUGGCCUAAGACGCUGCCCAAUUGGCGCGAAUUAACAACUUGACCUAUCUCCUAAAAGAGCUCUCUUAAAAGACCUUUUCUGCCCUUAGUUUGCUGCAGAAUCAAAUUACAACCAAAAGACCGGGAAUUUGGUAAUCCUCCUGGCUACCUUAAGCCUUAUUAUACGCAAAUCCAAGUAUUAUUCUCUUCACACUUCUUUUUUUUUAUCGUUACGCUAUUUCCCAUACAUAUUUAACACUAGAUAUCAAUUAUUUGUUUGUUUUAUGAUGAAAACUAAUCGAAUUUUUUUAUUUUUUUUGUUACCUCUCUUUUAGGUUUUUGGACGGCUGCCAGACAAUAUUAAAAUCUCGCUUAUGGGGACUUCACAGAUAUAGGACACAGACAUAAAUUGGGCUGUUUAUAUAUGGAUGAUCGCAGACAAAAUCACACGGCUGCAGCACCUGGGUCAGGCCUCUUCAGCUCGAAGCUUACACAGCACAACCCUCUCAAGCUGAGAAAUUUCGCAGCCGCCAGCAAUCAGGCACAGUAAGCUCGGAAAAUUGGGGCUCACUGGAGAACUUUUCCACCAAUAAAAAUUUCGCACUGGCCCCCUUAUGCGUAGGUUGGCCAGUGCUUAUCGCCACUACAGGAAUCAAUUUAUUUAAAUGUAUUUACAGCAAAACACGAUCAAAAUAAAGUUGUUAAUGAUGUUCAAUA